AAUUACGUUGCUUUAGACAUAAUUUUACAUUUAUUUCAUGAGUCAACGGACCCAGCCCACUCCCCCGUCCUUUUACAAUCUGGUUCAAGCAGUUUAGAUUCUCCACGGCGACCAGCAGGAGGUGGGUGACGGUGUGGUGUUUGAUGGAUUGACUCGGGGCCAAGUCCAUUGUGGCAAGUCUUCGAUGGUGCUCGCCGACGCAGCGGAAAACCUCCCCGUUUUAUUUUAAUGCGGCGAUGCGGUGAGCGACGGCGGGUGAGCGGCGGUCGACGAACUCGACGUUUGGAUUUUUGCCUCAUAGGCGGGGCGAUGUGCCGGCGUGCUGCUUGGAGGCUGGUGGCAUGACCACAUGGUGUGUAGCGACCGGGCAGGCGAUGCGGCUUGGCAUGCGGCAGCUCGCCUUGCGGCACUACGUUGAGUCCAAAUCUUUGUUAUUGGAACGGGAGGAGGUCAGCAGCUCUAAUCCUAAAUUGGUUGUUGCAUGCUUGUUGAUAUGAUCUGCAUCUCCAUCUCCUACCCCGGCAGUCGGUGACCUGUUUUUCGCCACCGGAUCUCUUAAAUAUUGCCUCCUCUCCAUCAAUUUACAUGAACUAGUGAAGCCUUCCACCGUGCAAGUAUGUUAAUGUAUUCUGGAGAAGCAGUAAUUAAGAUGUAAUCCUUGUCAUUUUACUGGGCAAGUGAAAUCAUAUUCUUUUUAUGUCCUAUUUGACAAUGUAUACGAUCAAUUGUGUUAAAAUGCCUAUAUUGCAAGAGUAAAAUAAAGUACCUAAACAUUUGUACAGUGUUCACGAAAUAAAGUAUUUUGGGAAUAUUGUUCUUGAA